UACGUAGGGCGCAAGCGUUGUCCGGAAUUAUUGGGCGUAAAGAGCGCGUAGGCGGCACGGUACGACCGGUGUGAAAGCCCCCGGCUCAACUGGGGAGGGUCACCGGUAACGGCCGAGCUAUGAGUGCAGGAGAGGGAAGUGGAACUCCGGGAGUAGCGGUGAAAUGCGUAGAGACCCGGAGGAACACCAGUGGCGAAGGCGGCUUCCUGGUCUGCAACUGACGCUGUGGCGCGAAAGCUAGGGGAGCAAACGGG
rnacentral:rRNA from 1 species